rnacentral:rRNA from 1 species
GAAUACGUUCCCGGGUCUUGUACACACCGCCCGUCACACCACGAGAGUUUGUAACACCCGAAGCCGGUGGAGUAACCUUUUAGGAGCUAGCCGUCGAAGGUGGGACAAAUGAUUGGGGUGAAGUCGUAACAAGGUAGCCGUAUCGGAAGGUGCGGCUGGAUCACCUCCUUU